rnacentral:rRNA from 1 species
ACUCAAAGGAAUUGACGGGGGCCCGCACAAGCGGUGGAGCAUGUGGUUCAAUUCGACGCAACGCGAAGAACCUUACCCAGACUUGACAUGCAUAGGACCGUCGUGGAAACACGGCUUCCCCGAAAGGGGCCUGUGCACAGGUGCUGCAUGGCUGUCGUCAGCUCGUGUCGUGAGAUGUUGGGUUAAGUCCCGCAACGAGCGCAACCCUUGUCCCUAGUUGCAACAGAUAAUGCUGAGCACUCUAGGGAGACUGCCGGUGGUAAACCGGAGGAAGGUGGGGAUGACGUCAAGUCCUCAUGGCCCUUACGUCUGGGGCUACACACGUGCUACAAUGGCCGGUACAGAGGGAUGCAAGACCGCGAGGUGGAGCCAAUCCCACAAAACCGGUCUCAGUUCGGAUUGCAGUCUGCAACUCGACUGCAUGAAGUCGGAAUCGCUAGUAAUCGCUGAUCAGCAGGCAGCGGUGAAUACGUUCCCGGGCCUUGUACACACCGCCCGU